AUGAUCCUGUGGCUGAAUUUGGUUUCCUUCCUAGCAGUCCUCAGAGGUGUCCUGUCAGAGGCCCAGCUGGUGGAAUCUGGAGGGGAUGUGAGAAGGCCUGGAGAGUCCCUCCGUCUCUCCUGCCAAGCCUCUGGUUUCAACUUCGGGGGCUAUUGGAUGAGCUGGGUGAGACAGGCCCCUGGAAAAGGGCUGGAAUGGGUGGCACGCAUAUGGCCCGAUUCCAGUAAGCAGUACUAUGCAGAGUCUGUGAAGGGACGCUUCACCAUCUCCAGGGACAACUCCAAAAGCCAACUCUAUCUGCAAAUGAACAGCCUUAAACUGGAGGACACGGCAGUCUAUUACUGUGCGAGGGACACAGUGAGAGGAAGUGAGUCUGAAGCCUGGCAAAAACUCUCUCUUCCUCUGAGCCGCUCUCAAGAAGACUACGUUGCCUCCUCCUCCUCCUCCUCCUCCUCGGGUUGCCUAAGACUCGAAUGGGUUGCCUACAUAGGUACCUCCUCAACUCCCAGGUAUAAUCUGGAUAAAGGGAAUGGAUGCUUCACCGUCUCCAGGGACCACUCCAAAAGCCAGCUGUAUCUGCAAAUGAACGGCCUGAAGCCAGAGGACACGGCAGCCUAUUACUGUGCAUGA